rnacentral:rRNA from 1 species
GAUGAACGCUGGCGGCGUGCCUAAUACAUGCAAGUCGAGCGAACAGACGAGGAGCUUGCUCCUUUGACGUUAGCGGCGGACGGGUGAGUAACACGUGGAUAACCUACCUAUAAGACUGGGAUAACUUCGGGAAACCUGAGCUAAUACCGGAUAACAUGUUGAACCGCAUGGUUCAACAGUGAAAGACGGUCUUGCUGUCACUUAUAGAUGGAUCCUCGCCGCAUUAGCUAGUUGGUAAGGUAACGGCUUACCAAGGCAACGAUGCGUAGCCGACCUGAGAGGGUGAUCGGCCACACUGGAACUGAGACACGGUCCAGACUCCUACGGGAGGCAGCAGUAGGGAAUCUUCCGCAAUGGGCGAAAGCCUGACGGAGCAACGCCGCGUGAGUGAAGAAGGUCUUCGGAUCGUAAAACUCUGUUAUUAGGGAAGAACAAAUGUGUAAGUAACUAUGCACGUCUUGACGGUACCUAAUCAGAAAGCCACGGCUAACUACGUG